AUUGAACGCUGGCGGCAGGCCUAACACAUGCAAGUCGAACGAGUGGCGGACGGGUGAGUCAUGUCUGGGAAACUUCCUGAUGGAGGGGGAUAACUACUGGAAACGGUAGCUAAUACCGCAUACCAUCGGAUGUGCCCAGAUGGGAUUAGCUAGUAGGUGGGGUAACGGCUCACGUAGGCGACGAUGCCUAGAUGGUCUGAGAGGAUGACCAGCAAACUUGGAACUGAGACACGGUCCAGACUCCUACGGGAGGCAGCAGUGGGGAAUAUUGCACAAUGGGCGAAGGCCUGAUGAAGCCAUGCCGCGUGUAUGAAGAAGGCCUUCGGGUUGUAAAGUACUUUCAGCGGGGAGGCGUUACCCGCAGAAGAAGCACCGGCUAACUCCGUGCCAGCCGCCGCGGUAAUAC
rnacentral:rRNA from 1 species